UGGGAGCCUCUGAGAUUGCAAGCUCACC
rnacentral:piRNA from 1 species